rnacentral:rRNA from 1 species
UACGUAGGAGGCGAGCGUUGUUCGGAGUUACUGGGCGUAAAGGGUGCGUAGGCGGCUUCUUAAGUCUGGUGUGAAAUCUCCCGGCUCAACUGGGAGGGUGCGCCGGAUACUGAGGGGCUAGAGUGUGGGAGAGGAAAGUGGAAUUCCUGGUGUAGCGGUGAAAUGCGUAGAUAUCAGGAGGAACACCGGUGGUGUAAACGGCUUUCUGGACCAUAACUGACGCUGAGGCACGAAAGCGUGGGUAGCAAACAGG